CGACCGAAACCGAAAACAGAGCAAAGGCUCUUCGGUCUCUCUCUACCUCCACCGGCCACCAAACGGCGUCGAACCACUUCCUUUUGCUUCGUCUCAGCCUUGCGCAGCUUCCAGAGGCAGCCUUGCACCGUGACACGGCCACCAGCGGCGGCGGGAAGCUCUGCCCGGUUUGAGCUCGUUUUGGAAACAAGCUUGAUAUCUCAAGCUACCGGUCACCAAUCCUCACCAAAAUCCAUCCACAAGCUCGCCUCAACUUCCUGAAACUCCCAGAAGCAGCCUCACACGGCGGCGUGGCCCGUAGCAGUGGCUGCAAGUCAAACCCAACCAAGAACGAGACCGGAGCUAUCGAUCAAGAUAUCUCGAGCUGUAGUGCAUCGUUUUGAUUGAUUCUUUUUCCAGUGGGUUCCCCUUGAUGUUAUUAACAACUCUCUAGAAGGCAUCGAGGCCUGAAAUUGAAGCUUUGACGUCGAAAUCGAGCCUUGCCGGAUUCUGCAAAAUUCUGGAAUUUUUCCGACCACCGAAGCUUUCGAUCGGUAUAUCUCGAGCUACAGACCAUAUUUUUCUGUGAUUCUUGAACCAGUGAGUUCUUCUUGAGUUUCUUAACAACUCUUCAGAAGGAAUCGAAGCCUUAAAUUGACGUUUUUACGUCGAAUUGGAGCUCGCCGUUUUCUGCAGUUUCUCGCCGGUUUCUGGAAAAUUCCGGCCACCUUCAUACUGUUCAAGGUGAUCGACGGUUUGAUUUGGCGGACGAUUCGUGAAAUUGUAUUUUGAGCUGUUAAGAAGACGCAGCGGGAAUUUAGAGCGGGUAAUCCUACAGGACAGGAGAACCAGGACGGUGAUCGUGCGGUUAGAGCAAUGGUUAUAGUUUUACAGCAAUUGUAAUAGUGAGGCGAGUUAAGCUCAUUUGAGCAUUACAAUUUGAUUUGGUGGGAGUGUGCUGUAAUAAAUAACUUGAGGAUUUGGGUUAUUGUAAAUUUGAGAGUUGUGAAGUGUGGUUGUUUGUGAGAAAAAAAUUCAGGAUGUUAGUUGUAAUUUGUUAUUAUUCAUGUUUCGGAUUUGAAUUGAUUAUUCAAAA